rnacentral:lncRNA from 1 species
GUCCUGGGCGCUCUGCUCCCUGCACAGCUCUACCAGCGUGGCUCCACGGGUGGCUGAGAGGCGUGCCGGGGGCGGUCCUUACCUGCCCUUGUUCGCCAGUGUGUGUCGCCAGCCGGGCAGAGCUGGGCUCAGUCCUGAGCGCUCUGCCCUCUGCACGCCUCUACCCGCGCGGCUCCCCGGACAACUCCUGUAUCCCAUUUAAGACAAGAAAGCCACAUUCAUGGACUCUGAACAAUGCACGCUGGCCAGGAUUCUGCCAGUUGAACCCAGGAAUUCAGUUUACAGAAAUGACCUCUUGGCUAUGAUGGAGGACAAAUCGCUAAUAAAGUAUUUUCAUUCAAAACUCUUAGCCUUUCUGCUGU